CAGUUGGCUGUCAGCCUCUAUCCCUCGUCACUUCCCCAGAGCUUCCCCAUUGGUCCCUGUUCCCUAGUCCUGCCUUUUCCCCGCCCCCAGAUAAAACCCCUGGGUUCGGCAUUGUUCUCAUCUUUGCCCCUGAAUCUUCGGCAGCGUAGGAGCAAUAAAUGCUCCUGCUGGAGCUCAUGCAAAGGCCCUUUCCUUCUCUUUGCAGCUGUCUUUAUAUUGAAGCUAGCUGUGCAUUUGUGUGUGCGUGCAUGCGUGCGAGCCACAGAGCCGGACAGAGACAGUAAUAGCAUAGUAAUACAGGCAAAUUACUUCUUUAGGAUGCUAGAAACCUAGCUGUUCCAUAGACAUGGACACACAGAAUGAACACUCACUUCAAGGAUGAACGACAGAGUAACUAUGUCCUCUUUCUAGAAACAUCCAAAUGUGAAAUGGAAAACAUCCACUAGAUAGUCCCUCUUCUCAGGAUUAGAAAGACUGAUCUGCCAAGAUAUUUUAAGGGUUUUAGUGUUUAAAGGACUACUGAAGGUAAAAGAAGGUUGUCCCACGUAACUUGAAGAUCAUCUGGAAAUGACAUUCUCUGGUUGAUCUCAGCUAUUGUAUGAGAAGCUAGAUGAUUUCUCCGAAUAGAUUCAUUGCUGUUACCAGUAGCUGUAAUGUCUGUGGAGAUAAAUACACACAUGAACAGAACAGAUAAUGCCUCAUUUCAGAUUUUCUUCGUUGAGAAGGCCACAGACCUCCUUGGAGUCCACCUGCUGUGCCAGUCACAGUCUCAGUGACACAACAGAGAAGCUCCUGUGUGGUUCUUCAGCCCCAGUUACAGCCAAGGCUUUUACAGUAUUAAAGGUUCAGCUGCAGCUUAUACGACAAAUAUUUAGAAAGAUUGGAUGUGUCUUCACAUCCUCAAUUCCAUGGUGCAAUUGUGUAUUGCUUCAAAGUACAGAAGUAAAAAUAGAUAUGCAAUCAAAUGGGAGAUGUCUACUGAGGUACAAGCAUGAUGCAAAUGAAGUUCACUACAAAAAUAUUCCAGCUUUUUUUGUGCUACAUAAAGCCUCAAGCUUCUCUAUCUCUAUCUGA
rnacentral:lncRNA from 13 species